AGACCCUGAAUCGUGUAGGAGAUGGAGCUAGCCUCCUCCCCGCCCCCAAAAUCUCGGCGACGUGCGGACACUUGGCCAUGCAGCGAUGUGCUGRACGGCCGAGCUACGGGUCCAGCGCCGUCAAGGUCGAGGGUCACAUCGAAUGCCGUGAUCGAAAGCGUGGAUAUUCCCCGSGGGGNGGAUGCAAUVUGGAUUACGAUCGGUGCCUUCGAACGACGUYUGCGUCGGAGCGAGAGGUCCCUGCUCGGUUGUAGUUCAGAGGGGGUCCGGGCCUCGUCCCCCGUUGAGAUUUCANGGCCCGAUCGCGUGCGCGGCGCUGUGCCAGGGAUCCGUCGUUUCGACGGCGGCAAGUCGGKACUGCCGCAACCCCCCGUUGCCUUUCCCAGGUGCGUUAACUCGUCGCUUGGAGCGUUCUAUGUUUAGGACGGGUGCACUCGCAUGAUUUGCGGGGCAGGGGCCCCGUCCGAUGACACGGCUCUCCCCAUGCGUUGACUCCCACCUUUGCGAGGCGAUGGGGCGGGGACACACCACAGCGUUCCUCGUCGCACCCAUUGGGUGCUCGGGGUUCGGGAUGUGUCAACACCCAACACACGGGUGCGCCAUCGCGCACCUUAGAAAUCCAAAGAAUGAAGCGCGGUCUAGCGCCUUGCGCGCUUGGGUCGCCGAAAGACAAAAAAAUAACAAAAUCACGACUCUCGGCAACGGAUAUCUCGGCUCUCGCCACGAUGAAGAAUGUAGCGAAAUGCGAUACUUAGUGUGAAUUGCAGAAUCCCGUGAAUCAUCAAGUCUUUGAACGCAAGUUGCGCCCGAGGCCUCGGCCAAGGGCACGUCUGCUUGGGCGUCGCACUACAAAAUUGCCCUCCCCAGCGAGGAGCGGAGAUGGCCGUCCGUGUCUGCAAGUGGCGCGGUCGGCUGAAAUGAGCACGAGGUCCGUCGGUCCGUCGCGACGAGCGGUGGCUCCCAGAGGCCGGCGUUGGUUUGCGCUGAUCGAACGAUUCCUCGCGAGGAACUUUAUUCUGGGUCCAGCGGCCCGCCGCAGUGCGGGCAUGCUGCAUCUCUACCGCGUCCCCAAGU
rnacentral:rRNA from 1 species